rnacentral:rRNA from 1 species
GACGAACGCUGGCGGCGUGCUUAACACAUGCAAGUCGAACGGAAAGGCCCUGCUUUUGUGGGGUGCUCGAGUGGCGAACGGGUGAGUAACACGUGAGUAACCUGCCCUUGACUUUGGGAUAACUUCAGGAAACUGGGGCUAAUACCGGAUAGGAGCUCCUGCUGCAUGGUGGGGGUUGGAAAGUUUCGGCGGUUGGGGAUGGACUCGCGGCUUAUCAGCUUGUUGGUGGGGUAGUGGCUUACCAAGGCUUUGACGGGUAGCCGGCCUGAGAGGGUGACCGGCCACAUUGGGACUGAGAUACGGCCCAGACUCCUACGGGGGGCAGCAGUGGGGAAUAUUGCACAAUGGGCGGAAGCCUGAUGCAGCAACGCCGCGUGCGGGAUGACGGCCUUCGGGUUGUAAACCGCUUUCGCCUGUGACGAAGCGUGAGUGACGGUAAUGGGUAAAGAAGCACCGGCUAACUACGUGCCAGCAGCCGCGGUGAUACGUAGGGUGCGAGCGUUGUCCGGAUUUAUUGGGCGUAAAGGGCUCGUAGGUGGUUGAUCGCGUCGGAAGUGUAAUCUUGGGGCUUAACCCUGAGCGUGCUUUCGAUACGGGUUGACUUGAGGAAGGUAGGGGAGAAUGGAAUUCCUGGUGGAGCGGUGGAAUGCGCAGAUAUCAGGAGGAACACCAGUGGCGAAGGCGGUUCUCUGGGCCUUUCCUGACGCUGAGGAGCGAAAGCGUGGGGAGCGAACAGGCUUAGAUACCCUGGUAGUCCACGCUGUAAACGGUGGGUACUAGGUGUGGGGUCCAUUCCACGGGUUCCGUGCCGUAGCUAACGCUUUAAGUACCCCGCCUGGGGAGUACGGCCGCAAGGCUAAAACUCAAAGGAAUUGACGGGGCCCCGCACAAGCGGCGGAGCAUGCGGAUUAAUUCGAUGCAACGCGUAGAACCUUACCUGGGUUUGACAUGGAUCGGGAGUGCUCAGAGAUGGGUGUGCCUCUUUUGGGGUCGGUUCACAGGUGGUGCAUGGCUGUCGUCAGCUCGCGUCGUGAGAUGUUGGGUUAAGUCCCGCAACGAGCGCAACCCUUGUUCACUGUUGCCAGCACGUUAUGGUGGGGACUCAGUGGAGACCGCCGGGGUCAACUCGGAGGAAGGUGGGGAUGACGUCAAGUCAUCAUGCCCCUUAUGUCCAGGGCUUCACGCAUGCUACAAUGGCUGGUACAGAGAGUGGCGAGCCUGUGAGGGUGAGCGAAUCUCGGAAAGCCGGUCUCAGUUCGGAUUGGGGUCUGCAACUCGACCUCAUGAAGUCGGAGUCGCUAGUAAUCGCAGAUCAGCAACGCUGCGGUGAAUACGUUCCCGGG